rnacentral:rRNA from 1 species
AGAGUUUGAUCCUGGCUCAGAUUGAACGCUAGCGGGAUGCUUUACACAUGCAAGUCGAACGGCAGCACGAGAGAGCUUGCUCUCUUGGUGGCGAGUGGCGGACGGGUGAGUAAUAUAUCGGAACGUGCCCAGUAGCGGGGGAUAACUACUCGAAAGAGUGGCUAAUACCGCAUACGCCCUACGGGGGAAAGGGGGGGAUCGCAAGACCUCUCACUAUUGGAGCGGCCGAUAUCGGAUUAGCUAGUUGGUGGGGUAAAGGCUCACCAAGGCAACGAUCCGUAGCUGGUUUGAGAGGACGACCAGCCACACUGGGACUGAGACACGGCCCAGACUCCUACGGGAGGCAGCAGUGGGGAAUUUUGGACAAUGGGGGAAACCCUGAUCCAGCCAUCCCGCGUGUAUGAUGAAGGCCUUCGGGUUGUAAAGUACUUUUGGCAGAGAAGAAAAGGCAUCCCCUAAUACGGGAUGCUGCUGACGGUAUCUGCAGAAUAAGCACCGGCUAACUACGUGCCAGCAGCCGCGGUAAUACGUAGGGUGCAAGCGUUAAUCGGAAUUACUGGGCGUAAAGCGUGUGUAGGCGGUUCGGAAAGAAAGAUGUGAAAUCCCAGGGCUCAACCUUGGAACUGCAUUUUUAACUGCCGAGCUAGAGUAUGUCAGAGGGGGGUAGAAUUCCUACGUGUAGCAGUGAAAUGCGUAGAUAUGUGGAGGAAUACCGAUGGCGAAGGCAGCCCCCUGGGAUAAUACUGACGCUCAGACACGAAAGCGUGGGGAGCAAAAAGGAUUAGAUCCCCUGGUAGUCCACGCCCUA